rnacentral:rRNA from 1 species
AACGAACGCUGGCGGCAUGCCUAACACAUGCAAGUCGAGCGCCCGUAGCAAUACGGGAGCGGCGCACGGGUGAGUAACGCGUGGGAACCUGCCCAGAGGUCUGGGACAACCGCGGGAAACUGCGGCUGAUACCGGAUGAUUCCUGAGGGACAAAGAUUUAUCGCCUUUGGAGGGGCCCGCGUCGGAUUAGGUAGUUGGUGGGGUAACGGCUCACCAAGCCUAUGAUCCGUAACUGGUCUGAGGGGAUGACCAGUCACACUGGGACUGAGACACGGCCCAGACUCCUACGGGAGGCAGCAGUGGGGAGUAUUGGACAAUGGGGGGCAACCCUGAUCCAGCAAUGCCGCGUGGGUGACGAAGGCCUUCGGGUU